rnacentral:rRNA from 1 species
CAAUAGCGUAUAUUAAAGUUGUUGCGGUUAAAAAGCUCGUAGUUGGAUUUCUGUUGAGGUUUGGCGGUCCGCACUUCGUGCGUGUAUCUGUUUAGACCUUGGCAUCCUUUCAAGGAACGUAACUGUGCUUAAUUGCAUGGUGCGGUACUUGAAACUUUUACUUUGAGGAAAUUAGAGUGUUCACGGCAGGCAAGCGCCUUGAAUACAUUAGCAUGGAAUAAUAAUAUAGGACUUUGGUUUUAUUUUGUUGGUUUCUAGAACUAAAGUAAUGAUUAAUAGGGAUAAUUGGGGGUCGAUUUGUAUUAACGCGUCAGAGGUGGAAUUCUUGGAUUGCGUUACGACAAACUACUGCGAAGACAUUUGUCCAAGGAUGUUUUCUAUUGAUCAAGAACGAAAGUAUGGGGAUCGAAGACGAUUAGAUACCAU